CUAACGGCCAAGGAGUGACCCAACCCUGGGUUUGACACCAAGACACCCAGGGACAUAUGGGACACACAAAAGAUCUGAAGCACAGAACAGCUACACAGAUGCCAAAGGAAAAUGCGGGGCCCCUUGUCUGAAAAGUGUUCGGCAUUUCCAGAGGCAACAGCAGCACAUUAGACCAAGCUGAGGCCCCUCUGAGCACAAGCCCCUGUCAGCAGCCGGUCCUGAAGCCAGACCAUCCCCCAGGGAGGGCGGCCUUGGGGACACGCGGCAGCCUUGGGGACACGCAGCGCCCUGUCCACACUGGGAUUCCCGAGACUGAUGGUGGCCUGAGCUGGAGAAGACAUCCUGGGGACAGUGGGCGACGUCUGGAGACAGUUUUGGAUGCCACCCUGGGGUGUGCUUCUGACUUGUGUGGAGAGGCCAGGGGCGCUGCUAACCAUCAGACCCCAGGGUGCUCUCCAGCCCUGGGCUACGGUUCCCAUCUCAGCACUCCCAGGUUGGUGCUGGCUUCCACGAAGCAGGAGCCAGAACUUGAAGAAAUUGGGACUGAGGGUGGUGAGGGAAGAGCUCGGGGCUUAGGCUGUCUUUGCUGGGACUGCAGACCCCUGCAAGCUUAGGGAUCCGCGUUCUCCACCACGACAGGCGGGCCUAUGAGGGUACACACAUAACAACUCAGCCAACUACACGCUUCAGUUGUGUGCAUUUUGUUGCAUGUAAAUCAUACCUCUUUGAAGCUGAUUUUUUAAGAACUAGAAUUUCGUUCAGAGUCAGUCAUUUGGGGCCAUUUGGGGAACAUCACCCUCCCCAACCCCCAGGUCCCUUCCACGGCCCCAUACCUGGGUCUGCCUGAGCA
rnacentral:lncRNA from 1 species